rnacentral:rRNA from 1 species
UAUGCCCAUGUAUAUUUGCUGCUAGGCAUUUAGGCUGCUCCUUAUCCAUCCAAAAGCUAAAAAGAGUUAGAGCUGGCUAGUAUUUGGAUGGGAGACCACCAGGAAAUCUAGUGUGGGAAGAU